rnacentral:rRNA from 1 species
AACGAACGCUGGUGGCAUGCCUAACACAUGCAAGUCGAACGAGAAGCUGACUUCGGUCAGUGGAAAGUGGCGCACGGGUGAGUACAAGAUAGGUAUCUACCUCGCACCGGGGGACAACAGUUAGAAUGACUGCUAAUACCGCAUACGCCAUAUUGGGAAAACUACGGUGGUGUGAGAUGAGCCUAUCCCAGAUUAGCUAGUUGGUAGGUAAAAGCCUACCAAGGCAACGAUCUGUAGCGGGUCUGAGAGGAUGAUCCGCCACACUGGAACUGAGACACGGUCCAGACUCCUACGGGAGGCAGCAGUGGGGAAUAUUGCACAAUGGGCGCAAGCCUGAUGCAGCAAUGCC